GUGCUCACUUCUGCAGCACAUAUACUAAAAUUGGAACGAUUCAGAGUUAGCAUGGUCCCUGAGCAAGGAUGACGCGCAUAUUUUUUUUAAAAAGUUGAAGGAUUU
ensembl:snRNA LOC120099412 U6 spliceosomal RNA